CUGUAGACUCCUUGACUUGAGUUUCUCCUCAGGGAACUGCAGGCAAGGCCGGGGACCCUGGGAGAGAUGUAAGUACGGGGAGAUGUUAGGGUGGA
rnacentral:pre_miRNA from 9 species